rnacentral:rRNA from 1 species
UACGUAGGGUGCAAGCGUUAAUCGGAAUUACUGGGCGUAAAGCGUGCGCAGGCGGUCGUGCAAGACAGAUGUGAAAUCCCCGGGCUCAACCUGGGAACUGCAUUUGUGACUGCAAGGCUGGAGUACGGUAGAGGGGGAUGGAAUUCCGCGUGUAGCAGUGAAAUGCGUAGAUAUGCGGAGGAACACCGAUGGCGAAGGCAAUCCCCUGGACCUGUACUGACGCUCAUGCACGAAAGCGUGGGGAGCAAACAGG